GCCCGGCCUCGGCUAGAAUUCAGAAGGGCACCGAAGAGGCGAAGCCGAAGCCGAUGGCGUGCCCCAGGCCGCCUCCCGCCUCCGCCGUCCGCGGCGUUCAUGCGGCUGCUGCGCGUGAGCGGCGCCCGCGACUCGUUGGAAUGAGUGGGCAGCCUGAAGCAAACGAUAAUAAGUGAAAUGGAAAAGAAUUUUCCAGGAGCAGAGCAAUGAAGUGCGGAAAGAGCUGUUGAAAUGCAGCAAAGGAUGCAAGUCGGCGGGCAACAACAAGCAUGGAUGCAAAUCCUUCCCAGUGUAAAAGAUCUACACUCUGCAUUCAUUUCUUUCUGAUUUUGGGCUAUAGAGUAUUGCAACAGAUUCCCCUCGAAGUGAGCACAUGCUGUAAACAUUUCUCUGCAAAGGCAGAGCAGAGCAGCAUUAUCUACCACUAAUCUAAUCAUCGCUAUGCUCCUUUCAUCUAAAA